rfam:Myotis davidii contig305132, whole genome shotgun sequence.
UAUUUUACUACAACAAUAUACUAAAAUUAGAACAAUACAGAAAAUAUUAGCAUGACACUUGCUCAAAAAUGACAUGGAAAUUCAUAAAACAGUCCAUAGUUUU